rnacentral:lncRNA from 1 species
GAUCAGUCUUGGUGAGCAGACAGUUAACUCAAAUGAUGGGGUAGCCUCAGUUCCUAAGACGCGGGCAAGGAAGUAACGGCAAUGGCACACAGCAAGUAAGGAGCAAAAGUCAGGACUCAAACAAUGUCUCUUAUCUCCAGUCCAGCUUUCUCAUGGACCCUGCUGCUGAAGCUGGACCCCUCCACUGUCUUUCCCUAUGAAGACAGGGACCAGCACUUACCACCACCACCUACGAGCCACCAGCUGCUCCUUCCUGAGAAGAUUUCCCGGAGCAGCCCUUCUGGAGUGAACUUCCUCCAUUAUGGAACAGACUCAAAAAUUAACUAACUUGUCCAAUCUCAUACAGCCAGAAAAGUGCAGAGCAGGAAGUAAAAUCCAUGAAGUCCAACUAGAAGCCAGUUCAGCCGACUCCCGCAGAGUCCCCUUGCCACCCUGCCUAUACUGCCGGCCUUCUUCUGAUUAUGCUUGGAUUAGAUGUCCCUACAGGCAUCGUUGUUAACAACCGGAUAAUUCUCCCUGGCUUAUAUUUCUAGGCUGUCAUUUUCCAAGAGGCUUUUAGACAUGAAAGCUAAUGGGAUUACCCCAUCCAUCUAUUGUUCUGAGCCAAGCCUUCUCACCUAAGCAAGCACUUUUCUGGUGGAUGUUGAAUCUCUUUCUUCCUAUAUUUGAAUUCCUUCAAAUUGGCUGGGCUUCUGGUAAGCAUGACAACACUAGCAACCUGAUGUCGGGGAGGGCUGCUGGAAGCCACCUUGGAUAAUGGUGAAGAAGGUGAAACCACGUGUCCACCUCCACACUAGCCUCUGAGCUUGAGAUGUUCACCAGAAGCCUCACUGUUCAACCUUGCCUCUUAAUUUGUGAAAUAAUACAUGCACACAGAUCCACUCAGCCUUACACACCCCUGCUCUGCCACUCAGUACAGACAUGCUGCCUGAAGUUCCUGACUUCCUUGGCACCUUUCCAUAGUGGUACCUUUCCAUCCUUCCUGGUUAAGCAAAUUUGGGAAAGAAUCAUCUCAGUUGCCAGUCUGGUUUAUAAUUAUCCCAACAGGCCUCACUUUCCAUUUAUGAACUUGGCAAAAGAAAUCACCAAGGAAAAACCUGCCCUACUAAUGACUCAGCUGACGUCACUCAUCAUUGCCUUACUGCUUUAAACACAUUCACCUGAUAAGCCUAUGGUGACUAAUAAAUUCAAAGAACUUAUACCCAU